GGGCAGAGCGCGGUGAAUCCCUCCCGCCGCGCGGCCCGCGGCGGAGCUCCGAAACUUUCCCCGGAGCCAACUUCGCGGCGCCCGGCGCUCGCAGGUGUCGCGGGGCCGCGGGCGCAGGAACUUUCCAGGAACCGCAUCAUGUGACAGCACCCGCUCCGAGCCGCACCGCUCCCGGGCCGCGCCGCUCCGCCGCACCUCCGCGCAACCCCCUCGCCGCCGCACGGACCGCCGCCCCGCGCCGCCCCGCACGGACGGCGCCGGAGCCUCGAGGCCGCCGCCGCCGCAGAACAUAAUCUUGAAUUUACAGAAGUCCGUGGCAAAAUCUGGUUGUGAAUGGGGGCUUUGUUCUGCGAGACUAUUUCUGAAGACUCCUGGCUCUCUGUCUGCCUUUGUGUACAAGGCUGACACACGGGCCCAUCCACCCGCGCUGUGCCCAGCAGCACACCCUCUCUUUCCAGCUGCCCUCUUGCAGGGAUGCACACAGCUCUCCGGUGGGUGGGCUGUAUCCCAUCACCGUGGCAAACCUGUGGGGCUGUGAUAGUUUAUAAAACCUGACAGCAUGGUCCAUUGCAUGUACUUUUUCUAAAUCCAUAUUUUUCCAAUUUUUUUUUUUUUCCUGUAGUGGCAAGUUUUUUUUCUGUCCAUCUGGGAGCAGAAUCCUGUGCUCAGCGUAUGUAAAUAACAGCUGUUUCCACUCAAUUGCAUUUAUGUACUUAACACUUCAAAAUAGACUUUUUUCUAGAAGUUUCACAAUCUAGUCACCAUCCGUGCUUAGACUGAGGUACUGGGGGAGAGAUUAAUGAAACCCCUCCGGAGUGGCUGACAAAAGUAUACAGCUGUAGCUCUGGAAUCCCUGCACAGGAUGGAUCGCUGAUGCUGACGGCCGUGCUUCAAUGCACUGUGAAGGCAACUUCACUCCUUAGGCACCCUCAGCUCUGGCUUCUGGGGCUGCUGAGGGGGUAGCAGGAUGCCAGGUGAGGAGAGGAGCUGUUCUGAACUGGUAGUGCCUUCCUAGCAAAGUUAAUUUGUCAUGCAGAGCAGCUGAACAGGGGAAACAAUGGCAAGUUAUUUACAGGGAAAAGCUCAUCCGCCAGUGUCGCAGAUUUUUGAAUGCAUUAACCUAUUGCAUUCUGAGAAGAAAGGCAGCUCUUUAAUGCUCUGGUAUGUCUUUUGUUGUAAUGCCACUAGCUCUGAAAUGAAAAUACAGCCUUUUGGUUUUAAAAUGCCUCGAUGAAGACUUCAAGAAAUUAAUGUCCAAUUAUUUUUUUUUUGUCCAGAAGCCUCAUUAUUUUCUCAAAUGCCUCAACCUGAGCUAUUUCAUUAGAGUUUUGGAUCCUCUGAAGGCUGAGGAUUACAGAACAUUGAUAUUUAGUUACCCAUUCAUUCAAUUUACUGCAAUGCAGGCCGCUGAAAGAGUUGUUUGUUCCUAAAUCCAGGCUGUUUUUUAUGUCACUGUCUUUUUUAUUUUGCUUAUCCAGAAGAAAAAUACUUUGAUGUUUACUGCUGUCUCAACUGGAACACCUGUGAACCGGGCAGGACCAUGCUGAGGACUCAAGCUGUGAGGAGAGAGCAAUAACGGUGUGGGAGCUGUUGCUCUCACACAUUCCGAUGUGCCUGUGCCAGAGUGUUUAUAGCAGAAGCAAAGAGGACCUGAGCUCGGGUUGUCUGUGAGAACAGCCACCUGCUCCCACAGGGCAUGUCUGUAUUUCUGGAUAAGAACAUUCCUGAUGCCAGGAGGACCGGCUUACAGCCUUGCCAACAUGGUUCCCCCUAGGGCUCCUCCUGCUUUCCCACCCCGCAGUGCUCCCCAGACUCUGGUGCCCUGCGGGUCCAAUGUGGAAUGAUGCCUUUUUGUGUCUCUUUCAGUUCAGAGUGCCUGAAAUGAGGUGAGACCGCUCUGCAGCCUCCAAGAAUGGUGCUUCCCUAGUGUGAAUGGGAGGUACAUGUGUGUUUUGGAGCAUGCUAAUGUCUGAGGGUGUGCGGCCAUCUUGGGUUGCUCUGGGCAGAGGCACAACAAGGCCCGGCCUCUGGCGCAGGCCCUGCACUGCUAGGGGGGCCAGCUGGGAGAGGGCUGAGGGGAACAUGGUGAGGCAGUGUGGGCGCUCAGCAGCCCCAAGCUUGAGCUUGGUGACCAGGCUCAGAGGGGUCAGCCCGUCGGCCUGCUGAUGGGCCCAGCUGGCCGGGCACAACCAGCACUCUGCAGGUGGUGUGCUUCACUCUUAGGAAAGCACAGGGAUUCUCAGGGGUCAUUUCCUCAUGUCACAAGUUAAAGCCUGAGCAGUGUUGAAGCAAAACAGUCAGAAGUUUGAGGGCCAGGACCAGCCAAGCAGCGUGGGGGUACUCACCACUGUUGCCUGCCUCAGGGUUGCCCACACCCUCCCUCCUUCACAGGCUGUGCCCCAGCCACGGUCACCGUGUCACCUUUCAGCCACACCAGUGGCUUCAUUGGGCUCAUUUCAAGUCUUUUUCUUCUUAAACAAUAUACAAUAUAAUAUAAUAAUAUACAAUAUAAACAAUACAGCUGUAUAAAGUCAAUGAAUUGUAACCCACAUGGUCAAUGUGACACAUGGAGUGUUUGUUGCAGUAGGUUUGAACAUACAAAUACACACUCUAGAAAGAGAAGUGUUAGGCCAUUUUUCUUAUUCUCCCUGUUAUGGCGAACACUUGGCACUGUGUGUGCCCUCCUUCUCAAUCAGAAAUCCUUUCUCUUAAUCAGUUCCUAAAAUCCAUAGAACUCGUUGCCAUCCUUGGUUUCUCCAUCACUAAAUACAAGAUUUUAACUGCAUAAAAAAUGGGAUGGGAGCGAGGCAGUUUGACAAAGAUGUAAGGUACUCAUGGAAAACAACAAGCGAAUCCUGACCUAAAAGUGGGGACGUGGUUUAGUGAUGCAAUAUUGGUGGUAGCGGGAUGGUUGGACUGGAUGGUCUGGGAGGUCUUUUCCGACCUUGGUGAUUCUAUGACUCUAAGUCAGGAUUAAAAAAUACAGAAUAACCAAAAAAUUAAGAGGGAAUGUGAACUUUUAGAUUACCAUAAACUAAUGUAAACAAACAGUUAGACCUUUUUCCCUGGAAUUACUUUAUUGACUGGAAGCCUCAGAGCACCUUAACGAAAGCAGAAGCAGAGAGAAAGUCCGCAGCACAGCCAUUUUGUUAUUUGUCGUGUUCGUCUUCUGUAGCUACCUGGAGGUAACAGAUAGAACCAUGGGCUCAUCAGAAGAGGGACUACAGAGAUGCAUAAAAUAAGCAACUCUUGUUUAUUUGGAAUAAAUAAAAUGAAAGAAAAAAAAUUAAGAGCUUCGCUACUAACUUUUAAUAUUUUUAGUAUUUAGAUAAUUAAACAAAAGGAGGUGAGAGAUUAAAAUCCUAUGCACAGUCGUUAAGCAUGUGCAUUACUGCAUACAGAGAACAAAAACCAGGAAGUUAGAAAGCUGUUGCAGUGAAGGCAAAACACAUUGCUUCAUUUGCUCAGCAAGAGAAAACUGCUUAGUCUUUAAAAUAUUUUGCUGACUUUCUCAUCUCCUCAUUCAGGACUUCUGUAUAUGGACUACAUGCUACUAAAGGUUAGCAGGAACAGCAAAAAAAAAAGGUUUCACCUUUAAGCAGAGUACUUCUGUAUUUCUGUCUCUGCUCUCAAACUGUUGCCCUACCCUCCCAACUCAACCAACCAAAAAAUAAUUCCCAAACACAAUAAAACUACUUUUAUUUGCUAUGAUAUGGGCAUCUAAAUCUCCACCGCCCUUCAAAGAAGAGAGAGAAGCACCUCCAGAAAACAACGUGUGGCUUAUUCUAGGUAUUUUUUUUUUAAAUGGGAUUUACUGCCUCAUUGAGGUACUUUGUAUGUGUGUCCAUUGACUAUACAGUGAGUCUACGACAGUUAACUCAGGUUUAGAUGUCUAAUUAGUAGUUGUCCCAACAUUAAGAAACAAGUCUAGCUCUUAUAAAUUGUAGGUACACAAUUAGUCUGAACUUUAUUCUAGUGAAAAGUGGGCUCUGAGUCAAUUUAUUCUCCAGUAGUAUUGAAGCAAAACACGCGUCCUCCAUAACAGAAGAGGGAUGCAGCCUGCACAGUCUAUGUCUGCUUGACCAUAUAACCUUGUACUGUUUUUCAGGAUAGAACGAGCAUGUGGGCAAUUGUAACAACGCACCACGAAAACUGGAAUAACUGAGAAAGGCAGCGUCGACAUCAAACAUAAAUUACUAUUAUGAUACACUAUAAAGCUGCAGCAGAGAUGUAGUGGUGGCACAGCAGAAGCUGGAGAUGUCAGGUGAAAUCCAGGCCCUCCCAACAGCCAGCUUUUCCAUGGGGCUGAAUAGCUGCAUAGGGCUGGGGGGAUGGGGUGGCUCACCACUCCCUCCAUUCUUGUCUCGAGGAACUGGAGCAUACAGACACGAAACUCGAAACUCGUCAAAUGGGCACAUUUGGCAGUGCUGUACUACUGACUCAAUUUUUCAAAGCCACAAGGGUUGGGUGCUUUUUGCUGUUGUUUAGUAAGUAUGAAGAAAGAUACAUCUCUGAUAGACUAGAAAAGUCAAACAGUUCAAAGCAAACAAGAAAGUGCUAGAAAAGAACCUUUGACCCUUUGAAUCCAAGCACUUUCAGACCUUCCAGGAAAUAUCUUAUUCUUCAGUACUUGCAAAUUUAAUUAAACAACAGCUGGUGCAUGUCGCUCAUAGUGUUAAGUCCCACGAUUCAGCUAUAUGAUCUACGGCUUCGGACAAACCCAGUAGAGCCACUGUGCAAGACUGCCUCCCGGUGGUGGUACCACGAACCUGCAGAAUGACAGAAUUUGCACACAGAAAAGGCAAAAAACCCAUUCCAAAAGAAGGCUUCCUUUUUGAAUUCAGGUCUAGGUAGAGUAAGGGAAAAAUUUCAGUGAGGUUUUAAUGGCUUGAAUUGAGGACAAACCUUUUGAUAUGUGACUGAAGCAGAGCUUCUAGUGGAAUAGCGUACUAACAAGGAAAGCUCAGAGAGACUUUCAGUACAACAUUAAAAUAAGUUAAAAAUCAGCAAGAUGUACUCAAUUGCACACUGUCCGCAGCAAUGAGCCUCCUGAAGUCUGAAACAAUACCUAUUAAGCACAAGGCAGAUGGCUGAGUGCCAUAACUUGGAUACAAAAACACUACAGCAGAUUUCCCAUUCUACCAAUUCUACGUAACCCAAAUUUUCAGUUACAAAGUUAGCACAAGUGAAAAAAAAGACAACAGAAAGCCCCAAACUGCCUUUCAAAUUGAUUGUUCUUUUAGGCAAAAGCAGGAAAAGACUCCAGCAGAUGGAUUUCCAAUUCCAAUUCUUCAAGUAAAGAGAAACACACAGUUAAAGACAGCUUUAUGUAGCUGUUCAAGAUGAUGAAAGCCAAGAGGACAGCUUGAAAUUACUGUGGGAAUAGGAGUUUAGUUGGGUCACGCUUCAGAUGACCCAGACGAAAGAUUUAGUAUAAGAAAACAGAAAUAUUGGCAGCGCAGUGCAGGGAAAGAUUUUAAAACACCCAUUUUAUGGAUUCACGUAACAACAAAUUGGCAGAGGGUACGCGCAGUGAGCGCGUCUCAGACUCGCUCAGUUCCCAGUAACUGCUCAGAAGAGGAAGCACUUUAAAUCAGCUAGCAGUCCCACACAUAGCAGAUGUGUAGUCCUCCAAAUACCUGAGGAGUGUUCAAAAACACGAGGGAGAAAAUGAGAAAUGUAACAACAUUUCUGCAGUGACUGCGGGUGAUAAAUUGUCAGGUUUGACAGGAAAGAACAGACAAAUGUAGUAAUACUGUGCUAACAAAAGGCUUCUGCAGAAGAAAGUGUCUUAACAGCAUUAUGCAGGCAUAAGCAAGAAUGUGUUUGUGGGGGGGAUAAAUACUUGAAAGCUGAACCCAAGAAAGAACAUCUUUUCUUAAAUCGGAAUGAAAUCAGGCAGGGACAAAUUAGGUCUCAGCUUCCCAAAAAGAAUGGUGGUUCAGUUUUACAUGGUGGAUUGUAACAAAGGGGUGAGCGUGAGAUGUAACCUUCUCACAUACGGACCUGUGUCAGUAACAGUAACGCCAUAAACCCAUGCACAUACUAACAUUUGCUAUGCCACCAAUUACUAAAAACCCUUCAAAAAUGUGAUACUGUAAGCAGAAGAAUAACUACUUUUGUUCAACCGAAUGUGCAGAGUAAGCAGAUGUCCUUCCCAUGAACACAACAAACAUUCCUUCAUGACAGUAUGUUGUCAUGUGAGCAACGCAUUGUGUCACACAAAGCCAGAAUCACUGUGCUGAUGUAGGAUUACACACGGCAUCAGAUUAACAUAGAAGCAUAGCAGAGAGGAGCAGAACUAUUCCAUGCUAUCCCAGAACAAAUCAUUUUGGGCUAACUGGUAUUACAUGUUAAAAGUAACAGCCAAAUACUUAAGACUAGCUUGACGCAUCUGACAUUAACUUCACACAAUGAAAGCACUCAAGGAAAACAAGUUAUUAAGAAUUCUAGAAAAAAGCAGGUGUACUUCACACUACAGUGUGUGAAUUAGAGACUUUACACAGUACUCAUCUUCUGGCAAAACACAUGGAUAACACAAGCAGGCAAAAUGACACUAGAUGAAUGCAAGAAACAAGUACCUUCCUGUCUUAUCCAAGUUGCCUUGGACAGAAAGUGUGAUGACAGUAUUUUAUUAGCAGAAAUAUUUAAGCACUGCAAGGUGCUGAAGCUAUGAAGCAGAUUAAAACCACGUUUCUUGAAUUUAAAGCAUUUGAAGGACCAGUCCUUUCCCCUUGGUAAGCUGGAAAGAGUAGGUAUCUUCACUGAAUCAUUACUGGGCUAAAGCAAGGAACUAUUCCUCCCCUGAGCUACACCUGUUUAAUUUAUAUACAAACAUACACAGCAUCCUCACCAAACAAUAGUUAGGGUGAAUUUAAAAUUAAAAACAACAAAACCAUACACAAAUAUCUCAAAUAUUUGGGAAUACCGAAUGAUUAAAGGGCGAGGGAUGCCCUGGAAGCUGAAGUUUAACCAAGUUGCCCAGCUUCCAGUGUAAGAAAAGAGCCUUAAAUUCUUUAAACCUCAGUAUUCAAAGCUCAUCUGCACUUCAAGUAUUAGAUUUCUAAAAUAAGAAACCACAGCACGUCCAGUUCUUGAACUCCCACUCUGAAAUACUGCUUCUAUGCACUCACUUUACGAUAAGCCUCUGACCUACUUUAAUCAGAGCACUCCAUCAUCUGUUACAUGCAGAUCUGAGACCGGCACAUUCUCUGACCCUCCGCACACAGUAUUCUUCAGAGCCCUCACGUCAUCAGUGCACUUCUGUUGUUUUCCUAUUAUCAACUAAAUGAAAUGGGAAAAGUCAAAUUUAGUUAAGCAUGGUUUCGUUAAAACACACAUGCAGAACUGAUAAACGUUUCUGUAUUUUUUUUAUUUCAAAUAAAGGUCAAUGACAACGUGCUCACGAGCAACAAGUCAUCUUAAUCAUCUGUCUUUAGGAGGAUUAGGAUUCUUCCGUCUUCUCUGAUACCUAGGAGAUAAAAAAAAGCUGCUGUGAAUGCAAGUUUUGGAAAAAUCUUUGAUUUUCCUGACCUUCUUCCCUCCAGAAGCAGUUUGGAGACUACACACGUAAGCAAAAUAUAAGACAACACAAGCACAGUUUAUGACCAUUCAUUAGAUGUCAUCCCCGUUGUUCAUGAAGUUACAUAACACUACUCAUUUCUGCUGCUACAUCUGCUACAAGCACACAAUAAUCCAUUCAGCUGUAGAACUGAUUAGAUACAAAGGCUGCUGUUUACUCUUAAUCCUUUGUGUGAGGUUAACUUUAUUAUACAGUCAGGGCUUCCUCUGACCAAAAUGAUUGCUGCAGAGCAAUCAGGGGUACAAGAAGGAGUUAUGUCAGACUGUACUUUAAAUAGUGUCAUACUCUACAGCCAAAUAAUUAAAAAAAAAAAAAAGUCUUCACAACAAAGAAAGAUAAAUUGUGUCCCUGCUGUCUUAAUUAGCCACCCUUAAGCAAGGCAGAUACAGUACGAUACUCAUUAAGUGACAACUAUCCUCUGGCCAUAGGGAGCUCCACUAUUUCAUUUUCUUCGCUUGUUCUCAAAACAUAAUCAUUAAAAAGGUUUGCUGUGUAUCAAGUUUCCAGAGCUAUAAAAUUAGCAACUACCAUAACAUGUGAAAACUGUUAUGGUAGACUGGAGAAGAGUUGCAUAAACUACACUGCUAUUUGUUUCCAGUGGUGUACCUGAACACAGAGUCUCUCUUUAAGCUCAGUCACAUACGUUUGUAUCUCUUCUCCUUGUAGCAUUCUGAAGUACACCAAGGUACACUUUUCAUCAUUUCAAAUGAAUAACUUCUACUUUUUCUUAAGUCUGAGAAUUAUAUGGUUUCAAGCUGUAUUUGGCUACGUCCAUUGAGAGGGUGAUCUCACUUAUGCAGUUUUAGGAAAUCACCUGGACCAGCAGCUAAGGACACAGCAGGAGGAAUUUCUCCUCCAUGGUAUUUUACCAGCCAAGUUGCAAAGGCAAUGGAAGGGGCACAAUUUAAAAAAAUAAAUAAUACACAGUCUUCCAUUUACACGACACUGCAUUUAAAACUGUCUGUAGUAGCCCACGUGCCAGGAGUAUUUCAGAGGAUGAGUUUGGAUAAAUUACAAUCAUUCUUGUGUUUCUCUCUAUGCCCAAAAGGAAUAAACAUUGAAAAAAAAAAAAAAAGAAAACUUACUGUCCCAUAGGGUACCAUCGAUGUUUUGUAGUGUAAAACAUUUUGCUGAGCUCUUCAAUUGUAAGACCUCUAUCAUUCUUCAGCUUUUCUUCAUUCAAUCUGGAUUUCAAAACUUGAUCAAGAGUUUCCUCUUUGUUAUUCACUGGAUCUGGUCGUGGCACGGGCUAUGAAAAACAGCAACGUAAGUAUUUUCUUUCCUCCUCUUUGAGGAAAAACAAAAAGUCAAACUGCAUUGAUAACAUUACUGUUUACUCUUCAAAGCUGAGAAGAAAAGAACUAAAAAGAGAAAGCAUCAUAAAAGGCUCCCUCCCUUCUCAAUCAAAACCACAUCACUGUGGGGAGGACUUCUAGAAGCACCCCAUUACCCCGGCUGCUACAGCUGAUGACUGUGUCCCACUGUCAUUACUACUGCUGAGCUCUCACCCUUACAAUUCACUAAGCUGAAUCAUAAGCAUCAAUUUACUAACACAAAAUACUCCUAUUAUUGCUAUGUAUACAUUUAUUCAUACUGAUGAUCACCAUUUAAUCGUAUUAAGUUUUUGUUUAAGUUUUUAUUGAUUUUUUUUUCCUGUGUGGUUUAUGAGUUGAAUGGAAAUUAAACCCUGAGUUUAAAAUAAGAGCACCUCUUCAUGUCCCCCAUAUACUGCUACAUCUGAACACAGGAGGAUGUAUGAGUUAUCACCUGGACUUCAAACAUCUCUGAGGAGCAUGCUCUUAGACAACCACUAGUUUUCUCUGUAGUGCACAACCAUUUCAGUACCUCAUUUAAUUCACUUCGAGUAAUGCUGUAAUAACCUGAGCAUUUAUUUGCCUGCAGCUUUCUCUCACUUCAGCUAAAAGUCCUCCAUACAGCAGCAGCUAUAUUCAUCACUCACCUCACAGAUGUGCUGCUCAUGUAAGGAACUGUACCUCUGUAUUUCAAAUGGCAAGGAAAAACCAACAGUUGUCCUAAAGGCUCAGAACUACUUAUGCUUUUACACGACUAAGCAGAGCGUACAGUUGGACGUACUUUUGUGUGCUCGUAUGGAAUCUCAAGUGAAGGGUGGUAGCAGACAAUUGUCUUCGAAUCUGAUGUCAAGGCAAGUUCCACUUUGCUAUGAAAAUAAAAAGGGACAUUCUUACAAUCCCUUACAAUUUUCAGUAAUGCUCAGUGACUGAGCAGCCCAAUUCCCAAAGAAAACUUGAUUUCACCCUCUAUUUAUGAAUUCUUCAGAAAUCUAUAAAAUAAAACCUGAAAAAAUAAGGCUCACAAGUACUUGAUCUGAACUUCUUUCUUCUUCCCAGCUAUCUCGUGUUUCUUUCUUUCUUUUUUUAUGGAAGAGAACAAAGGGUUAAAAUGGAGAUCUACAGACAGCUGGAAAUACGGUUUGAAAAAGUCUUUAAGACACCGAGGAAUGACAUUAAAAGUAACAGCAGAUCAUGCACGUCAGCGAUAUGUAGGACAACGUGACCGUAUAAGAAGUGUGGCACCAAUAAGAGAAAGAAUAGGAAAUAAAGCCCCAGGGUUCCAACCUUUAUAUUUAACAAAUGCUGUUAAGCAUAAUAAACAAGAGGUUCUAUUGACAAGUUCCUUGAGGGAGUACGGCUUUUCUCACCUUAUUUCCCUACUAACUGCUGUGACACAUUAGCUUCCAAAAUACUUCUGCAGUGCAGAUGUUGCAUUUCUCAUUAUGCUUUUAUCAUCUUUUCCAGUUUCCACUGAAGUUUGCCACGCAGCAGCACAACAUUACCAGGGCUUUGUCUUAACAAUAAGCAUCGGUGAAAAUGAGUGCUCUUUCUUUUGCUCUUCCACAGUUAAAGAUGCAGUGGUACUGGGGUCAUCAUCAUGUUUAGAAUGAGUCAUGCAUGAUUUUUUAUUAUGCUCAUUUUUGAAACGUUAGCUUCACAAUCAUUAUGACUGGAAACAGUACUUCACUUUAAAUUAUUAUACACCUAUAUCCAAAAGUGGAAGAGAGUGUGUUUGAUACCAUCAGAUGACAACUUGAUGGCAGAGCCAGUAACCUGCAAUAUACAUCGCAUGAGAAGGCCACGCAAAGCACGUUAACAUACCAGUUGUAGUCUUCAGGGAGCACCGAGUAUGUUGAUUUAUGACAAGCAUGACAUACAGCUCCAAUUCGUAGCGGGACUCGCUUAUAGGCAGCUACUGAACGCAUCCAGAGACAGCUGGGCCACACAGCCCUAAGUGACGUUGCCAUGCUGAUAGCAGAUAGAAAACCAGUCCUGGACAAGAUGGAAGCGAAACAGACACGGUAUCUUUUUGGUUCCAGAACACCCUCUGAAAGAGACCAGUUUCAUAAUUGUUUGGGUACGGAGAUAGACAAAUUA
rnacentral:lncRNA from 1 species